rnacentral:snRNA from 1 species
AUACUUNNCUGGCAUGGGGACACCGUGAUCAGAAAGGUGGUUUUCCUAGAGAGAGGCUCACCCUUUGCACUUGGGGUGUGCUGACCCCUGAGAUNUCCGCACACACAGGAAACUCAAUUGUGUAAUUUGUGGUAGUGAGGGACUGUAUUACCUCUCGCCCCUG